rnacentral:sRNA from 1 species
CUGCAGCCUCAGGCCCGGGUGACUCCAGCGGAGGAGCUCUGGGACACCCUUGUCUAGGGAAGAGGUCUUACUGGCUGCCCUCACCUGACUUUGUGUUCCCAGGCCCCCAGCCAUGGCCCUGUCCCUGCCUCUGGGCCCUAGACUUGGCUCAGAGCCCCUCAACCACCCACCGGGAGCACCUAGGGAGCCGGACAUUGUUGGAUGCACCGUUUGCCCCGCAUCCGGAGAGGAGAGCACGAGCCCAGAGCAGGCCCAGACCCUGGGACAGGACUCCUUGGGCCCUCCUGAGCACUUCCACGGUGGGCCUAGGGGCAAUGAGCCUGCCGCUUGCCCCCCAAGAUGGUCAACACCCUCUUCCUACGAGGACCCAGCUGGGGGCAAACACUGUGAGCACCCCAUCUCUGGCCUGGAGGUACUAGAGGCUGAGCAGAACAGCCUGCACCUGUGCCUACUGGGGCUGGGCCGCCGGCUGCAGGACCUGGUGCAAGGCCCGGGGCGCUGGGCAUUGGCCCAGAGUGGGAUGGUGCAGCUGCAGGCCCUCCAGGCGGAGCUCCGAGGGGCAGCUGAGCGUGUGGAGGCGCUGCUAGCAUUUGGUGAGGGGCUGGCACAGCGGAGUGAGCCCAGGGCCUGGGCAGCCCUGGAGCAGAUCCUGCGGGCCCUGGGAGCUUACCGAGACUCCAUCUUCCGGUGGCUCUGGCAGCUGCAGGCCCAGCUGGUCAGCUACAGCCUGGUAGGGCCCAUCCUGAUACCCCCCACCCAACCCAGGCCCCAACCUCAUAGCCUCCAUGACCUCUGUCCUUUGACCCAGGUGCUCGAGGAGGCCAACACACUGGACCAGGACUUGGAGGUCGAGGGAGACUCGGACUGGCCAGGACCUGGUGGGGUCUGGGGGCCCUGGGCACCCAGUAGCCUCCCCACUUCCGCAGAGUUGGAGUGGGAUCCAGCGGGGGACAUUGGGGGCCUUGGGCCCUUGGGACAAAAGACAGUCCGGACACUAGGAGUGCCCUGUGAGCUGUGUGGCCACAGGGGCCCCCAGGGUAGGGGACAAGGCCUUGAGGUGAGAGCAGACCCCCUCGAGGGACCUUCUGCCAGGCACCCUGGGGACAUCUCUGCGCACCUUCUAGCAAGAUCCUGCCCUUCCAAGGAGGUGUCAGUGGUUCUGUCUCUCCCUCUAUCUCUGUCUCUUGGUGUCUCCUUCUAUCUCUCUGUUUCUCUCUCUCCUGUCUGUCUCUGUCUACAUCCUCAAGCCCCAUCUCAAAUUCACUCCUAUCCUGAGGCCCCCAGAUGAUGCCUCGCUCAGCUCCUGACUGUCCCAGUCUCUCCUGAAGUGCCGCCUCUUCAGGGAGGCCUGUCCUGACCUCCAAACAUUAGCACUCCUAUCUUCUUACUUUAUUUCCUAACAGCACUCACCACAGCUUGACUUUGUACAUUUACUUAUUUUUAAAAAUUUUUAUUUAUUUUUUGAGACGGAGUCUCACUCUGUCGCCCAGGCUGGAGUGUAGUGGUGUGAUCUUGGCUCACUGCAAACUCUGCCUCCCAGGUUCAAGAGAUUCUCCUACCUCGGCCUCCCGAGUAGCUGGGAUUACAGAUGUGCACCACCAUUCCUAGCUAAUUUUUGUAUUUUUAGUAGAGAUGGGGUUUCAACAUGUUGGCCAGGCUAGUCUCAAACUCCUGACCUCAGGUGAUCUGCCCGCCUCGGCCUCCCAAAGUGCUGGGAUUACAGGCGUGAGCCACUGUACCAGGCCUCAUUUACUUAUUAAUUGAUAGUCUCUCUCCUGUCAAAUAUAAGCUCCACGGAGGCCAGGUAUUUGCCUAUUUCCAUCCCCACUGUGUCCUCAGCCUAGAACAGUUCGUGGCUUGUAAUAGAAACUCAUUACACAUUUAUUGAAUGAAUGAAUAAAUAAUGUCUCUCCUCUCUUGGUUUCUUUGGCUCUGCCCUUGUCUGUCCCGUGAGAUCUCUCUGUUCCCCUAGAAUCUCAUCUCUAUGACACCCCUAUCCUGGCUCUCCCCCAACCACGUUUCUCUUUGUUGCUGGUUCUCCAGGAAGCACACACCUCUCACUCCCGACAGGACAUGCUGGAGUCUGGCCUCAGCCACCAGAAACGCUUAGCAGGUCACCAAAGACGCUCCCUGCUCCGGAAGCCUCAGGACAAGAAGAGGCAAGCAUCUCCUCAUCUCCAGGAUGUGAGGCUGGAGGGGAAUCCGGGGGUCCCUGAUCCUGCAUCCAGGCGGCCCCUGACCUUCCUCCUUAUCCUCUUCCUCCUCUUCCUCCUCCUGGUGGGUGCCAUGUUUCUCCUGCCAGUGUCAGGAGGCCCCUGCUGCUCUAACGCCCGAAUACCCAGGACACCCUACCUGGUGCUCAGCUAUGUCAAUGGUCUUCCCCCAGUCUGAUGUGUGUAAUAAAUGGUCACUGUCAAA